rnacentral:lncRNA from 1 species
AUUGGACAAAAGAGUGGGCGUCCCAUUUAAUUUUGGCAUGUGAGUUCCUUCACAGAGAAGGACAACUCCUCUUUUGUGCCUAUAUAUCCUAAGAUGCCAUCUCAUGGUGCAAGAAACAAAAGAUCAUAUGGAAAAAUAAGGAAGGAGUUAAGAGGAGUAGAUGAGAAGGACUCUUCCUUCUCAUCGCUAUUUAUUUUGCGUGUCCAUUAAACUCGCAUGUGGUUUGGUGUGGAGGAAUUCAAGAUUAGUUGAAACACUUUC